rnacentral:tmRNA from 1 species
CGACAGGGUGACAGAUGGCGGGCAGGCGGCACGAGAGGCGACGGACGUAAUCCGCGCAAAACCACAAACGCCAAUGAUGAGCGUUUCGCAAUGGCCGCUUAAGGCCUGCUGAGGACGUAGCCGUCCAAUAAACAGAAUGGCUAUCGGUGGGGGCUUCGGCCCCCAUCGUCA